AUUGAACGCUGGCGGCAGGCCUAACACAUGCAAGUCGGACGGUAGCACAGAGGAGCUUGCUCCUCGGGUGACGAGUGGCGGACGGGUGAGUAAUGUCUGGGGAUCUGCCCGAUAGAGGGGGAUAACCACUGGAAACGGUGGCUAAUACCGCAUAACGUCGCAAGACCAAAGAGGGGGACCUUCGGGCCUCUCACUAUCGGAUGAACCCAGAUGUGAUUAGCUAGUAGGCGGGGUAAUGGCCCACCUAGGCGACGAUCCCUAGCUGGUCUGAGAGGAUGACCAGCCACACGGGAACUGAGACACGGUCCAGACUCCUACGGGAGGCAGCAGUGGGGAAUAUUGCACAAUGGGCGCAAGCCUGAUGCAGCCAUGCCGCGGGUAUGAAGAAGGCCUUCGGGUUGUAAAGUACUUUCAGCGGGGAGGAAGGCGAUGUGGUUAAUAACCUUGUCGAUUGACGUUACCCGCAGAAGAAGCACCGGCUAACUCCGUGCCAGCCGCCGCCGUAA
rnacentral:rRNA from 1 species